rnacentral:rRNA from 1 species
UACGUAGGGUGCGAGCGUUGUCCGGAAUUACUGGGCGUAAAGAGCUCGUAGGUGGUUUGUCGCGUUGUUCGUGAAAACUCACAGCUUAACUGUGGGCGUGCGGGCGAUACGGGCAGACUGGAGUACUGCAGGGGAGACUGGAAUUCCUGGUGUAGCGGUGGAAUGCGCAGAUAUCAGGAGGAACACCGGUGGCGAAGGCGGAUCUCUGGGCCGUAACUGACGCUGAGGAGCGAAAGCGUGGGGAGCGAACAGG